AAAGAUUCACAAAGAGAAAAACUUCUACCACAUCCACUACAACAACACAAAGUUUCACAGCAACACCAACAACAAAAGCUGCAGCAGUUGCAUCUGAAAAAGCACAUGAAAGAUUCACAAAGAGAAAAACUUCUACCACAUCCACUACAACAACACAAAGUUUCACAGCAACACCAACAACAAAAGCUGCAGCAGUUGCAUCUGAAAAAGCACAUGAAAGAUUCACAAAGAGAAAAACUUCUACCACAUCCACUAAAACAACACAAAGUUUCACAGCAACACCAACGACAAAAGCUGCAGCAGUUGCAUCUG